UCCGGCUUAACGCCGGCAGUCUCCCUAGAGUGCCCAACUGAAUGGUGGCAACUAAGGACGAGGGUUGCGCUCGUUGCGGGACUUAACCCAACACCUCACGGCACGAGCUGACGACAGCCAUGCAGCGCCUGAACCGGCAGUCCCCGAAGGGAAGGUCCUAUUUCUAGGACGGUCCGCCGUUGUCUAGCCCAGGUAAGGUUCUUCGCGUCGCAUCGAAUUAAGCCACAUGCUCCGCCGCUUGUGCGGGUCCCCGUCAAUUCCUUUGAGUUUUAAUCUUGCGACCGUACUCCCCAGGCGGGAUGCUUAAUGCGUUAGCUUCGGCACGGGGGGAGUCGACACCCCCCACACCCAGUGCCCAUCGUUUACGGCGUGGACUAC
rnacentral:misc_RNA from 1 species